CGAGCGGUAGCACAAGGAGAGCUUGCUCUCUGGGUGACGAGCGGCGGACGUUGUGAGUAAUGUCUGGGAAACUGCCUGAUGGAGGGGGAUAACUACUGGAAACGGUAGCUAAUACCGCAUGAUGUCGCAAGACCAAAGUGGGGGACCUUCGGGCCUCACGCCAUCGGAUGUGCCCAGAUGGGAUUAGCUAGUAGGUGAGGUAAUGGCUCACCUAGGCGACGAUCCCUAGCUGGUCUGAGAGGAUGACCAGCCACACUGGAACUGAGACACGGUCCAGACUCCUACGGGAGGCAGCAGUGGGGAAUAUUGCACAAUGGGCGCAAGCCUGAUGCAGCCAUGCCGCGUGUGUGAAGAAGGCCUUAGGGUUGUAAAGCACUUUCAGCGAGGAGGAAGGCGUUGCAGUUAAUAGCUGCAGCGAUUGACGUUACUCGCAGAAGAAGCACCGGCUAACUCCGUGCCAGCAGCCGCGGUAAUACGGAGGGUGCAAGCGUUAAUCGGAAUUACUGGGCGUAAAGCGCACGCAGGCGGUUUGUUAAGUCAGAUGUGAAAUCCCCGAGCUUAACUUGGGAACUGCAUUUGAAACUGGCAAGCUAGAGUCUUGUAGAGGGGGGUAGAAUUCCA
rnacentral:rRNA from 1 species